rnacentral:rRNA from 1 species
AUUGAACGCUGGCGGCGUGCCUAAUACAUGCAAGUCGAACGGGGAAAGCUUUCGGGUGAGUACUAGUGGCGCACGGGUGAGUAAUGCGUGGAUAAUCUGCCUUGAAGAGGGGGAUAACCAGUCGAAAGAUUGGCUAAUACCGCAUAAGACCACAGGAACUGAGGUUCUAGAGGUCAAAGGUUUUUCGCUUCAAGAUGAGUCCGCGUAAGAUUAGCUAGUUGGUGAGGUAACGGCUCACCAAGGCGACGAUCUUUAACUGGUCUGAGAGGAUGAUAAGUCACAAUGGAACUGAGACACGGUCCAGACUCCUACGGGAGGCAGCAGUAGGGAAUAUUGCACAAUGGAGGAAACUCUGAUGCAGCGACGCCGCGUGAGUGAUGAAGGCCUUCGGGUCGUAAAGCUCUGUCGCAGGGGAAUAACACAAUGAAUGUACCCUGUAAGAAAGGAUCGGCUAACUUCGUGCCAGCCGCCGCUGUAACAC